rnacentral:rRNA from 1 species
ACGAACGCUGGCGGCGUGCUUAACACAUGCAAGUCGAACGGAAAGGCCCUGCUUUUGUGGGGUGCUCGAGUGGCGAACGGGUGAGUAACACGUGAGUAACCUGCCCAUGACUUUGGGAUAACUUCAGGAAACUGGGGCUAAUACCGGAUAGGAGCUCCUGCUGCAUGGUGGGGGUUGGAAAGUUUCGGCGGUUGGGGAUGGACUCGCGGCGUAUCAGCUUGUUGGUGGGGUAGUGGCUUACCAAGGCUUUGACGGGUAGCCGGCCUGAGAGGGUGACCGGCCACAUUGGGACUGAGAUACGGCCCAGACUCCUACGGGAGGCAGCAGUGGGGAAUAUUGCACAAUGGGCGGAAGCCUGAUGCAGCAACGCCGCGUGCGGGAUGACGGCCUUCGGGUUGUAAACCGCUUUCGCCUGUGACGAAGCGUGAGUGACGGUAAUGGGUAAAGAAGCACCGGCUAACUACGUG